ensembl:snRNA U6 U6 spliceosomal RNA
GUGCUCCCUUCGGCAGCACAUAUACUAAAAUUGGAACGAUACAAUACAGAGAAGAUUAGCAUGGCCCCUGCACAAGGAUGACACGCAAAUUUGUGAAGCGUUCCAUAUUUUU